UUGCCAGCCCGCUCAGAAACUCAAAGGAAUUGACGGGGCCCGCACAAGCGGAGGAGCAUGUGGUUUAAUUCGAUGAUACGCGAGGAACCUACCUGGGCUCGAACGUAAGAUGACUGUAGGUGAAAGCUUACAUCUCUUCGGAGCAUUUUACGAGGUGCUGCAUGGUUGUCGUCAGCUCGUGCCGUGAGGUGUCGGGUUAAGUCCCAUAACGAGCGCAACCCCUACCUUUAGUUGCCAUCAGGUUAAGCUGGGGACUCUAAAGGAACUGCCUACGCAAGUAGUGAGGAAGGCGGGGAUGACGUCAAAUCAGCACGGCCCUUACGUCCAGGGCUACACACGUGCUACAAUGGCCGAUACAGAGGGCAGCUACCUGGUGACAGGAUGCAAAUCUCCAAAGUCGGUCUCAGUUCGGAUCGGAGUCUGCAACCCGACUCCGUGAAGUUGGAUUCGCUAGUAAUCGCGCAUCAGCCAUGGCGCGGUGAAUACGUUCCCGGGCCUU
rnacentral:rRNA from 1 species